rnacentral:rRNA from 1 species
GAACCGGAGCUAAUACCGGAUAAUAUUUUGAACCGCAUGGUUCAAAAGUGAAGACGGUCUUGCUGUCACUUAUAGAUGGAUCCGCGCUGCAUUAGCUAGUUGGUAAGGUAACGGCUUACCAAGGCAACGAUGCAUAGCCGACCUGAGAGGGUGAUCGGCCACACUGGAACUGAGACACGGUCCAG